UAUUAAUCGAAAAACAGAAGCAGUUAUAUUUUAUUAGUGCUACUUGAAGUCGAGAAAUUAUUCCGACUGCAACGCAGAUUAAAUCUACGGAUUUAAUCUAGAUAUUAAAUGGCUUGUGAAGUGAAUUAAAUCUACGUAUUUAAUUUAUACACGAAUAAUGAGCAGAAGCCAGUAUUUGAUUGCAAACACGCGAUUAAAUAUACAGAAUCAAUCAAGAAGACAACCAAAUCAAUUAGCAAAAGCAAAAGCUCUUCAAUCAAUUAAAGUUUAGAUAAAGUUAUUAUUUCUAUCUUUUGCUAACGUCUUUGCUCUCCACCAACUCCACUCCACCAACUCCACUCCACCACUACACUCCCACACCCACCUACUCCCUCCGAUGUCCUUUAACAUUUCAGCCAACAAACUUCCUUCACUCAUUUCCUUGGACACCAGAAACCAGAAAAUUUGAAGGGAAGAGAUAGAGUUUGUAAAACUUCUAUGAAACUUCGAAGAGUUCUUCUCAUGCUGAGAUCAACACAACAGCCAAAUACCAAACAAUUACAAGAACCGAGCCAUUUGGGGCUCGGCUUAAGACGAGUUCAGCCGAGAGUCGCGACGGAGAGGAGGAGGCCGGAGCAGCGCCGCUCCCAGACGACAGCAGCCCGUCGGAUUUCGGACGAGGAUGCGACCGCAGCAGCGACCUGGGUUUGACGAUUAGGGCUCUGCGAUGAAGGGAAAGAAGGCGGCGCGAUCAACAAUUGCUCGCCGGCGGUUGGGACGGCCAGAGCAGCGGCAGACGAAGCCCUCGGCGGCCUGACGAGCAGCAGCAGUCGGCGGCGACUCCAGGCGAAGCAGCAGCCGCUCCAAACGGCGGCGAUGGCUCCAGACAAGGGCGUGACAGCAGCCGACGCUCGCCGGAUCCCAGUUUUUCAACGGCGGCAACGAUUUAUGAUGGGAGAAAUUAGGGCUCUUGUUGGUGUGAUUUCUGAGGGAUUCACUCGAGAGGUGAAGGCGUAAGAGAGAAGCAGACAGGGUUGCGCCGACCGAUUGUGCGGCGACCUCGCCGGAUUUGCAGAAGCAGCAGACGCGGCAGCGAAAUUUUGUUAGAUGAAGAAGAGGACUCUCGGCCUUGAAUUCUGUAAAAAAAAAAAAACGUUUGAGAGUUGAGAGAGAGAGAUCCGAGAGCUUGAGAAAAAAGAGAGGAUGGGCUGACUUUAUUAAGUUUGGGCUUAAUUUUAUCUAUAUUGUUUGGGCCGAAAAUUUAAAAGAUUUGGGCUUUCUUUUUAUGUUGGGCCAUUACAUUGGGCCGAGUUAUUUCUUUAUUUUGGGCCGAGUCUUGGGCCGAUUUUUAAUAAGUGAUGGGCCGAUUUUUAAAUGGAAUUUGGGCCUCUUCAUU